UAAGUAAUGUGAAUUGCAGAAUUCAGUGAAUCAUCGAAUCUUUGAACGCACAUUGCGCCCGCCAGUACUCUGGCGGGCAUGCCUGUCCGAGCGUCAUUU
rnacentral:rRNA from 1 species